GAAGUCGGCGAAUGUCCUCACCUGCUGAGGUCGCUCACGAAGCUGCCGCUUUUCUCAUCCAAGAAGCGCUUCCAGCCGUCCGCCGUCUUCACCCAGCUCUGGCCCGGGGACCGCCAGUCCUGCCCAAGGAACGGCAUGGUACAGAGCGCGGACGCGACCGACGGACGGGACGGAUUGACAGCCAGGAACCGGCCUGGCUUGCCCAGGGUCUCCAGAGCCUUUUCAGUGGGCAACAUUCAAUAUGACGCACAUGGAUGAACAGACCCUUGGGGUCCUCUGUAUGGGAAAGAGAAGCUCACCAUUUUGGAACAAUUGUUAGAAGCUUGCAUGAAGCUGGACAACACUUGAUCUUCUGAUGGGAGCCUUUAUCAAACACUUCUCAGCGAUUGUCUAAGUGAAGUGAAUUUCUCCUGUCACUUAAGUUCCCAUGCCCAGACAUGCUUUGAGCCUCCUGGAGACUUUUGUAAACACAGAUGCCAGAUCCCGGGCUAAGAGACUUGGAUUCAGCAGACCCGAGGUCAGGUUCCAGGGGAUUUGUUGGUUGAGGGUGGAGUAGCUUUGGAGUCUUUUUGUGAAGGCUUACUGAUAUGGGUUAGGGGAAACAGUCACAUCCAAAAGGACUUUGCUUAAUUUGUUUCAGCCUGAUCUUCUAGGUAAUUUUUCCUUCAAGUGAAAACAAGCUGUAUGUGGAUGGGGGUGCACUCGUCUCACAAUAAGAAUUCCUAAAAUUACAACACUGAAAAGUUCCUUUUCUUCAUUCUCUGCAAAAGGUAAAUGUGUGCAUGUAUGUGUGCAUUCUGGAUGUGUGCCUGUGUGAGUAUGUGUAUACACACACAUAUGUAUUUGUUCUUAUAUGUGCACAUAUUUCUACAUAUGUAUGUAUUUAUGUGCACACAUGUUCAUAUAUGUGCACAAAUGGGCAUAUAUAUGCUCAUAUGUAUAAAUGUGUAUGUUCCAUUUUGUGUCUGCAUUCACAGAGGUGUAUAUAUGCACAUGUGCAUGUCAUGAUAAAAAUAAUUAUAUGGAUGUACACACAAAUGCCUACAUGUAAACAUACAUGUGUGUAAAGAUAUGUUUAUGUAUAUAAGUAUACAAGAAUGCAUGUAUACACAUACAUAUUUAUGACAUCUGGGCAUAUAUAUGCAGUUAUAUAAAUGCAUAUGAAUUCAUGUACACAUAAGUAUAUACAUACAUAAUGCAGGCAUAUAUAUAUAUACACAAUAUGUAUGCACAUGCAUACCCAUGAAUAUGUACAUGCAUAUGUAUGUGUGCAUGUUUGUCAUUAUGUCUGCAUGUAUGUAUAUGUCUGCAUAUGUAUGCCAUUAUAUAUUUAUAAAUACAUAUAUGAGUAUGUCAUGUAAUUGUUGUGUGCAUGUGUGUGUAUGUAUGUAUAUUUAUGCUAUUUGCUAUAUAUAUGUUCAAGUGAAUGAAUAUACACAUGACUGAAUUCAUGCACACAUAUAUAUGCUUGUAUGUAUAUACUAUAUAUAUGUAUAUAUGCAUGUGAGUGAGUAUAUCUGUAUAUAAUUCUAUAUGUGCAUAUAUGUAUAUGUGUGCAUGUUCAUGUUGUUAUAUAUAUGGAUGUGAAUGCUUGUUCACACGACUAAAGACACACAUGUAUAUGUGUGCAUAUAUAUAUAUAUAUGCCAUUAUAUUAGGCAUGUUUAUUUAUAUAUGUAUUAUAUACAUCUGUGCAUGUGUGUGCAAACACACUUGGUGCUAACAUGAUGAAAAGGACUUACAGAUUACCUGGAUAAGGCGUACAGGGUUCUGCAUGAUGUCCUCACCCCCAAAAAGAUAGAGUCUUUGGUCCUUCACUGCUACGGCAGGGUGGAGCACAGCCACUGGCAUGCCAGCCAUGCUCUCCCAGACGUCACGGAUGCUGUCAUACCUCUCCAUGGAGGCCAGAAGCUCCUGCCCUUCUCCAGUACCCCCAAUGGAGAAGAUGAAGUUCCUGUGGGUGGUGCUUCUGUGGGAGUAGCGGGCUGCCAGCAUGGGCUCCCCCACCCUCCACUGGUUGAGUUUCAGAGAAAAGAUAUACACACCACAGCUAAUGAGACUCUUUCCCUCACUGACAGUCAUGCCCCCGAGCACAUAGACGCUCCGGUGCAAGGUGACAGCUGAGGCCUUGUACAACCGUAUGGGAAGCUUGGCUAGGCUCUGCCACUGGCCAGUCUGUCCACUGUAGAGCAAGACAUCCCUGGUGGUCUGCUGGUUGUCCUUCCGUCCCCCAAGGAGGAGGAGGAAGUCUUGGUAGGAGCUCCUUGGGGGCAUGCGCCAUAGGAGUUUACAAUCCUGGGCACUGGGACCAUACAAAGAGAAGAUCUGUUUCCUGGCCAUCUCCAGGAUGGCCUGGCAAGCAGGCGAGGACUGGAGGAGGGCGUCAUUGGCAAUGAAGUGAUGGAAGAAGGCUGGGUGGAUGUACUGCAGGCGGACCUGCUGCAGCAGUUCCUGCAUGUGCCUCCACCGGGCUUGAAGGUCAUGCUUCACCCAAGCCAUGAGGGCCUCGAACACCUUUUCCUCCUCACCACAGAGCCUGUCAUCUCCCAGGUAGUCCCUCAGCUCCAUGGCGCAGAGCUCCUUCAGGUCAGCUGAUGCUGCCACCUCUGGGAAGUAAGUCAGGGCCACCUCCUUCGCUUUCUUCUUAAGGCUGUCACAGCUUAAGAUUUCUGCGAGUCUGACUAGGCCCAGGCAAUUGCUGGGGGCCAGCUGGCUCUGGAGGUAUGAGGAGCAGGCCUCAAACACCCGGGGAUACUGCAGCAUGGCAGCAGCCUCCAUCAGUGGGAGGACGUUGGCAGCUGAGAUAUGAACCUCUCCCGUAUACACAUACGUAAUGACCUGCUCCAGAGUUGUGGAACUGAUGCCUUUCAUCUGCACUUUGGCCUCUCUGCUCUCCCGGAAGUGGCUGCAGAACAUGGCCUUGAAGUAGGGGCUGCUGGAGGCCAGCACACUGCGGUGACAAGGGACCUCCCAGGCCCCGGAGCAGAUGCUCACAUCAGUCAGGAUCUUGCUUUGUCUUAAGCCAUUGAGCUGUCUUAACAAGUCAGAGGAGAAGCUGUGGUCUUUGAAGACAACCCCAUCUGGUAACUCCUCAUCCAUCCUACAAAGAAGAAGGGAUGCUUCAGACGGAAGCAAAAUCAAGGCUUUCUCACAGAGUACACUGGAAGGGUUAGCUGUGGGGGCUCCAAGUCUCAUUUAUCUAUUUACCACUAUCUAUUUACCAAGACAGUGGAAUCACGAACAGUAGACCACAUUGUACAUCCAAGAGGAAACCACCCUCACCCUAGACCACAGAGUGAUCUACUUCAGGCUGUUAUUAUCUUCAGAGAUAAAAGACACACAGCAUCUCCAGCUAUGCACAGGCAUCUUCCAACCAAAGUGAAUAGUCAGGGACUCACAUAUUAGCCUGACACGAGAAUAGUCCAUGCCUUUGAUAAGAAAGGUACACUUUUGUCCAGAUUCUCAUCAGAUUUGCCAGGUAAUUCAUCUAGGAAUCUUUCUGAGGGUUAGUUGCUCACCAAGGCUAGAAUUCGAGGGUGUGGUCAUCUGGUCACAGAAGUGAUGGGGUCACAGUGGGCUGCUGCAAGAUCUAGAUAGAAGACUCUGGGCUCUUUGGUUUUUAUUUUAAAGAUGCAAUUAAUAGAGAACAAAGACCAAACACUUCUGUGGUUUAUUGGUGACACUGGCUGUCUGCCUGCUGAGAAAUGACAUAUGAGGGACACUUACCUUGUUUUGCUGCAGUGACAUCCACUGAUGCUGGGUCUGUCUUGUCCUCUCAAGAUUUCUACCUUAGGCUCGGAAUAAAACCAUAAAGCCCGGGC
ensembl:processed_transcript Gm15943 predicted gene 15943